rnacentral:rRNA from 1 species
UACGUAGGGGGCAAGCGUUGUCCGGAUUUAUUGGGCGUAAAGAGCGUGUAGGCGGCCAGGUAGGUCCGUUGUGAAAACUCGAGGCUCAACCUCGAGACGUCGAUGGAAACCAUCUGGCUAGAGUCCGGAAGAGGAGAGUGGAAUUCCUGGUGUAGCGGUGAAAUGCGCAGAUAUCAGGAAGAACACCCGUGGCGAAGGCGGCUCUCUGGGACGGUACUGACGCUGAGACGCGAAAGCGUGGGGAGCGAACAGGG